UGCCAGUAGUCAUAUGCUUGUCUCAAAGAUUAAGCCAUGCAUGUCUAAGUACAUGCCGUAUUAAGGCGAAACCGCGAAUGGCUCAUUAAAUCAGUUACGGUUCCUUAGAUGUUGACCUAACCUGCAUGGAUAACUGUGGUAAUUCUAGAGCUAAUACAUGCACAGAAGCUUCGACCCUCGAUGGAAGGAGCGCAUUUAUUAGAACAAGACCAAUGGGGCGACCCUCACCGGCCGUCCUUCCAAUUGGUGACUCUGAAUAACUUUUGCUAAUCGCAUGGCCUCCCGUGCCGGCGAUGAAUCUUUCAAGUGUCUGCCUUAUCAACUGUCGAUGGUAGGUUAUGCGCCUACCAUGGUUGUAACGGGUAACGGGGAAUCAGGGUUCGAUUCCGGAGAGGGAGCCUGAGAAACGGCUACCACAUCCAAGGAAGGCAGCAGGCACGCAAAUUACCCAAUCCCAGAACGGGGAGGUAGUGACGAAAAAUAACAAUGCAGAACUCUAAUGAGGCUCUGCAAUUGGAAUGAGAACAAUCUAAAUCCUUUAGCGAGGAUCUAUUGGAGGACAAGUCUGGU
rnacentral:rRNA from 1 species